GUGAACGCUGGCGGUAGGCCUAACACAUGCAAGUCGAACGGCAGCACAGUAAGAGCUUGCUCUUACGGGUGGCGAGUGGCGGACGGGUGAGGAAUACAUCGGAUUCUACUUUUUCGUGGGGGAUAACGUAGGGAAACUUACGCUAAUACCGCAUACGACCUACGGGUGAAAGCAGGGGAUCUUCGGACCUUGCGCGAUUGAAUGAGCCGAUGUUGGAUUAGCUAGUUGGCGGGGUAAAGGCCCACCAAGGCGACGAUCCGUAGCUGGUCUGAGAGGAUGAUCAGCCACACUGGAACUGAGACACGGUCCAGACUCCUACGGGAGGCAGCAGUGGGGAAUAUUGGACAAUGGGCGCAAGCCUGAUCCAGCCAUACCGCGUGGGUGAAGAAGGCCUUCGGGUUGUAAAGCCCUUUUGUUGGGAAAGAAAAGCAGCAGGUUAAUACCCCGCUGUUCUGACGGUACCCAAAGAAUAAGCACCGGCUAACUUCGUG
rnacentral:rRNA from 1 species